rnacentral:rRNA from 1 species
GAUGAACGCUGGCGGCGUGCCUAAUACAUGCAAGUCGAGCGAACAGACGAGGAGCUUGCUCCUCUGACGUUAGCGGCGGACGGGUGAGUAACACGUGGAUAACCUACCUAUCAGACUGGGAUAACUUCGGGAAACCGGAGCUAAUACCGGAUAAUAUCUUGAACCGCAUGGUUCAAUAGUGAAAGACGGUUUUGCUGUCACUUAUAGAUGGAUCUGGGCCGCAUUGGCUAGUUGGUAAGGUAACCGCCUACCAAGGCAACUAUUCGUAGCCGACCGGAUAGGGGGGUCGGCCACCUGGGAACGUGAACAGCGUCAAGGGUCCUACGGGACGGACCAGAAGGGUACGGGCCGCAACUGGGGGAAACCUGACAGAACGACCGCGAGUGAGUUGCGGAAGCCUCCCGUUCGGAAAAACGGCCUUCUGGGGAAAAACCAAUUUCGCAUGUAACAAAGCCUGCUUGACGGUAACUGAUAAAGAAGCCCCGGCUAACUACGUG